rnacentral:rRNA from 2 species
GCUUUCUUGUGGAUAUGGCCGCAACC